rnacentral:lncRNA from 1 species
UUGCCUAAUAGUUUAUACAUCUUCAAGGUUGACUGCUUGUUGAAAUGUCAACAAAGAAUUUAAUAAAUCCCAUUAAAGACAAAAUGUCUUGCUCUAAAUAUAAUUUGAAAUUUCAGCAGCCCCAAAUAAUUUCAGUUUCUUUAAGAAUUUCUGUAUGCAGAGAUACAUGUUUUAUUGGUUUGAAAGUAUUCCAGGAAAAAUCUUGCAAUGGUAAAAGUUACCCAGACUAGCAAUUAUAUUUUAAAAGUUGGGUAAUUGUUUACUAGCAUUUAAUAAUCUUUUCUAGAUUUGAUUGCUAUAUAUAUAUAUUAUACCAAUUAAAGAAAAUAAAAAUCAAUCUUAAAGGGUAAGCAAAGAGCUAGAGAAUAGACAUUCAAGUAGUUCAACAAUAAACCAAUUAAUUUAAGAGAAUAACAUGCGGUAUUACUUCCAAUUUAUCUUAACAGAAGGCACCUCCC